AUACGGAGGGGGUUAGCGUUGUUCGGAAUUACUGGGCGUAAAGCGCACGUAGGCGGAUUGGAAAGUAGGGGGUGAAAUCCCAGGGCUCAACCCUGGAACUGCCUCCUAAACUAUCAGUCUAGAGUUCGAGAGAGGUGAGUGGAAUUCCAAGUGUAGAGGUGAAAUUCGUAGAUAUUUGGAGGAACACCAGUGGCGAAGGCGGCUCACUGGCUCGAUACUGACGCUGAGGUGCGAAAGCAUGGGGAGCAAACAGAAGUAGAAACCCCAGUAGUCC
rnacentral:rRNA from 1 species